rnacentral:ribozyme from 1 species
UGCCCAGCAACUCCUAUCCCUAUCUCCUCACGGUACUAGUCAGGGUACGAGCAACCUUGAGGAAGAUCGGGUUAUCAAACGCGGUGGGAAAUUUGGUCGUAUGCUGACAGGAAAGU